CCAAUAGCGUAUAUUAAAGUUGUUGCAGUUAAAAAGCUCGUAGUUGAAUUUCGGGGUUAGUAGGUUGGUCAUGCCUCUGGUAUGUACUGGUCUCACUGAUUCCUCCUUCCUGAUGAACCUUAAUGCCAUUUAUUUGGUGUUUUGGGGAAUUUGGACUGUUACUUUGAAAAAAUUAGAGUGUUUAAAGCAAGCUAACGCUUGAAUACAUUAGCAUGGAAUAAUGAAAUAGGACGUUCGAUCCUAUUUUGUUGGUUUCUAGGAUUGACGUAAUGGUUAAUAUGGAUAGUUGGGGGCAUUAGUAUUCAAUUGUCAGAGGUGAAAUUCUUGGAUUUAUUGAAGACUAACUACUGCGAAAGCAUUUGCCAAGGAUGUUUUCAUUAAUCAAGAACGAAAGUUAGGGGAUCGAAGACGAUCAGAUACCGUCGUAGUCUUAACCAUAAACUAUGCCGACUAGGGAUCGGAUGAUGUUAAUUUUUUAAUGACUCAUUCGGCGCCUUACG
rnacentral:rRNA from 1 species